UACAGAGGUCUCAAGCGUUGUUCGGAUUCAUUGGGCGUAAAGGGUGCGUAGGCGGCGCGGUAAGUCGGAUGUGAAAUCUCGGAGCUUAACUUCGAAACUGCAUUCGAUACUGCCGUGCUUGAGGACUGGAGAGGAGACUGGAAUUUACGGUGUAGCAGUGAAAUGCGUAGAGAUCAUGAGGAAGACCAGUGGCGAAGGCGGGUCUCUGGACAGUUCCGUGA
rnacentral:rRNA from 1 species